rnacentral:rRNA from 1 species
UCGGCUUAGAGUUUGAUCAUGGCUCAGAUUGAACGCUGGCGGCAGGCUUAACACAUGCAAGUCGAACGGUAAAGUAGCUUGCUACUUACGAGUGGCGGACGGGUGAGUAACGUAUGGGAAUUUACCGAAUGGAGGGGGACAACAGUUGGAAACGGCUGCUAAUACCGCAUAACGUCGAGAGACCAAAGGGUUUCGACUUGCCAUUUGAUGAGCCCAUAUGAGAUUAGCUAGUUGGUGUGGUAAUGGCUCACCAAGGCGACGAUCUCUAGCUGGUUUGAGAGGAUGACCAGCCACACUGGGACUGAGACACGGCCCAGACUCCUACGGGAGGCAGCAGUGGGGAAUAUUGCACAAUGGGGGGAACCCUGAUGCAGCCAUGCCGCGUGUAUGAAGAAAGCCUUAGGGUUGUAAAGUACUUUCGUGGAGGAGGAAGGGUUUACGUAAUCGUGGACAUUGACGUUACUCCAAGAAGAAGCACCGGCUAACUCCGUGCCAGCAGCCGCGGUAAUACGG